CAUCUGUGUGGUUCCUGGGGCUUUUCAAGAGCUCGCUUUCAUUUGACUGGUAAGGCUCUUCCACGUGACAAGUACAACAGAGCCACCUCCGCAUCCUGCCUCUUUUAGUCACAGAAAUAUCCUCUAGAGUAAUGUUAUUCUCCAAUACGAAGUAGCCAGGAGGAGGAGCAUAUGCCUGCGUAAUUACAGUCAAUCUGUUGAACAUCUCAAAACCAUGCAACAACAAAAUCCGACGCAUUCCAACAAUAAGAAAAACAAAUGUUUGAUAAUCAAAUAAAUUUAACCAUACCAAAGGAUUUAUAAAUUACCCAUAUGUGAAAACCAGCAUGCAUACAAAUUAAAAAGACAAUUUGAAGGAGCCCAAAUUAGGGGAAGAAUAGGAUAAAAUUGCAUUUCCAAUAAUUCUAGACUUGAUCUCAAAUAAUCAUCCCAAAAGUAUGGAAGAAAAUGUUCUUUUGAAUCAACUUCUUUCUUUAAAUAAAUUAACUGACAAAAUAUACCAAAAUAAAAAAUAUUACAUGCUGCAAGUUGUUAUAUAAUAUAGAACAAUAAAAACCUAAAGAGACCCGCAUUAGAUGCAUUACCCACAUUAAAUGAAGCUAUUGCAAAAGGGCGGGAUAAUUUAAGAAUUGGCAAUUCAAUUGGGAAUUAUAAGGAAUAAUUUGGAGGAAAUUCAAGAAAUCUGACAUUUAAGCAACUCAGAAUCUCAGAUCAUUUGGGAAUUUUGAAAACAAAUAUGGAAUUUUUUUUCCUAAACCUAGAGAACAAAAUGAAACCAGACAAAUAGGGAUUCAUUAGCUUCACGAAAAAUUAAGAAUCUUCCCAAGAAUUCAAAAGGCAAAUGUAAUCUUUUUACACAAAAAAAUCAGGCAAAGUUCACCACUGAAAACCAAAUCCGCCAAACAAACAAACAUAAGAAUUCCCAAAAAUCGCACGUGAAUUCUUACCACCAAACCGGGCCGACGAAACUCGCCCCCACCCAUCUCAAAAAAUCCCAAACCCAGAUCGAAUUACAGAUCAAAGACACAUCCCACCAAGAAAUUGACCCAAAAACCCGAUCCCCAGACAGAAACCCUAAAAAAUCCUUGCAAGAAUAUGAGCCAAAAAGGAUUUAAAAAAAAUGAAAUAAAUAACAAAUAAGCCCUAGAAAAGAGGGGAAAACAAUGAAAAGACAAGCAAAAAAAGGCUGGAUCUUUACUAUUAAAACAGAAAAGAAAAGAGAGGGAAGUACCUGGCAAAUGAUGAAUUGGGGGAGAAACUGGAAAUAGGGUUAGGGUUUGUGGUGGUGGAGAAGAAGGAAGAGGAGAAGACAGAUUGGCAAAAAGGAAGAAGCCAAUGGAGUCUAUCUGUCCCUCUCUCUUCUCUCACACAUCG
rnacentral:lncRNA from 1 species